AGAGCGAACGCUGGCGACAGGCCUAACACAUGCAAGUCGAGCGCCCCGCAAGGGGAGCGGCAGACGGGAGAGUAACACGUGGGAACGUACCCUUUGGUUCGGAACAACACAGGGAAACUUGUGCUAAUACCGGAUAAGCCCUUACGGGGAAAGAUUUAUCGCCAAAGGAUCGGCCCGCGUCUGAUUAGCUAGUUGGUGGGGUAACGGCUCACCAAGGCUACGAUCAGUAGCUGGUCUGAGAGGAUGAUCAGCCACAUUGGGACUGAGACACGGCCCAAACUCCUACGGGAGGCAGCAGUGGGGAAUAUUGGACAAUGGGCGCAAGCCUGAUCCAGCCAUGCCGCGUGAGUGAUGAAGGCCCUAGGGUUGUAAAGCUCUUUCGACGGGGAAGAUAAUGACGGUACCGUAGAAGAAGCCCCGGCUAACUUCGUGCCAGCAGCCGC
rnacentral:rRNA from 1 species